ensembl:lncRNA
CUGAUGGACGAGGAGAGGAAGAAAAGCAAAGCCACCACCCAGCUCUUCAACCUCCUGCCUUGCGCUGUCAAUCCGGAAGACUUCAUUCACACUGGAGAUAUUUUGCAUCCUUAUACAGAACAUGACAAUUCAGCAGAGCACAGCUAAAACAACAGAAGAAACUCCUUCCAGCAAGCUGAAAGGUGCACAGGAUGAUGCUGUUUUCCUAUUGAGUCUAUUGGGUAAUUGGCACUAUAAAAAUGUAGAACACUGCUACUGAGUUGUUAUUGUUUUCUCACUCCAGCAACAGCCAUAUUUUAAUGGUAAAGUUUUGGUAUGCUUAGAAAAGAAUAUGGAAAAGUACUCACUUGUUAGCAAUUUUCACUGCCAAAAAUAUUUUAAUUUUUUCAGGUCACUAACCAAG